rnacentral:rRNA from 1 species
UACGUAGGGACCGAGCGUUGUCCGGAAUCAUUGGGCGUAAAGCGCGCGUAGGCGGCCCGGUAAGUCCGCUGUAAAAGUCAAAGGCUCAACCUUUGAAUGUCAGUGGAUACUGCCGGGCUAGAGUCCGGAAGAGGCGAGUGGAAUUCCUGGUGUAGCGGUGGAAUGCGCAGAUAUCAGGAGGAACACCAACGGCGAAGGCAGCUCGCUAGGACGGUACUGACGCUAAGGCGCGAAAGCGUGGGGAGCGAACAGG